GAUGAACGCUGGCGGCGUGCCUAAUACAUGCAAGUCGAGCGAACAGACGAGGAGCUUGCUCCUCUGACGUUAGCGGCGGACGGGUGAGUAACACGUGGAUAACCUACCUAUAAGACUGGGAUAACUUCGGGAAACCGGAGCUAAUACCGGAUAAUAUAUUGAACCGCAUGGUUCAAUAGUGAAAGACGGUUUUGCUGUCACUUAUAGAUGGAUCCGCGCCGCAUUAGCUAGUUGGUAAGGUAACGGCUUACCAAGGCAACGAUGCGUAGCCGACCUGUGAGGGUGAUCGGCCACACUGGAACUGAGCCACGGUCCAGACUCCUACGGGAGGCAGCAGUAGGGAAUCUUCCGCAAUGGGCGAAAGCCUGACGGAGCAACGCCGCGUGAGUGAUGAAGGUCUUCGGAUCGUAAAACUCUGUUAUUAGGGAAGAACAAAUGUGUAAGUAACUAUGCACGUCUUGACGGUACCUAAUCAGAAAGCCACGGCUAACUACGUG
rnacentral:rRNA from 1 species